rnacentral:rRNA from 1 species
CCUACGGGUGGCAGCAGUGAGGAAUAUUGGUCAAUGGACGGAAGUCUGAACCAGCCAAGUCGCGUGCAGGAAGACGGCCCUAUGAGUUGUAAACUUCUUUUGUACGAGAGUAAACCUGAAUACGUGUAUUCGGCUGAAAGUACCGUACGAAUAAGGAUCGGCUAAAUCCGUGCCAGCAGCCGCGGUAAUACGGAGGAUCCAAGCGUUAUCCGGAUUUAUUGGGGUUAAAGGGUGCGUAGGCGGGUUGAUAAGGUAGUGGGUAAAUGUCCGAGGUUAACCAGGGAACUGCCAUUAAUACUGGUGUUCUAGAGAGUAGAAGCGGUAGGCGGAAUGUAUGGUGUAGCGGUGAAAUGCUUAGAUAUCACACAGAACACCGAUUGCGAAGGCAGCUUACCAGUCUAUAUCUGACGUUGAGGCACGAAAGCGUGGGGAGCAAACAGGAUUAGAUACCCCGGUAGUC